rnacentral:lncRNA from 1 species
GAAUGGGAUGCCAGACUAGGAAAAUUAUAAUUUCUGUAGGGCAAUAACUGUAUUCCUACAACUUGCCAGGAGGCUGGGGGAGGAAAUUCAAAUUACAGUGAAAACUCAAGUUCUGAUUUUCUAACCUUAGCCUAAGUCAUGACCUGUUCAAAAAGGAGGGUAGAUGAAGAUGUUGACUUCCUUAUCCUAUGGGAUUUUGUGUUGCCAAAUUAAUUUCCAAAUCAAUUUAAUAGAUAAAGUUAACUGUGAACAUAUGGGUAUCUCAGAGAAACUGCACACUGGUUAGGGAAACUAGAGAGGGUUGGGUAAAAUUUUGACUACAUUUCCAGCCAACUGUUGAGACAUAUGGACCGAUGAAUAUGCUCGCUCUUAUUCUAUAAGCACAAUAGACUUUAAAUUAUAAUAAUUCAUUCAAUCCUCUGCAUUGUUCUUUCUUAAAUGUUGCAGGGAUAUUAUUUAAAUAAUACAUUAGCCCUCUCCUCCUCACCGUGGCAGUGGCAGAGCUGCUGUUUGUUUAACCUGACCGCAAGCACAUGAAGCAUCCCAUAGGAUCCAGGAGAGAGGUCCCUGCCUAGAGGAGUCCCUGCGCUGACACAUGGAGAAAGGAGAGACAUCAGCCCCAUUGCAGCCAGCCAGCCCAGAAGGUGCUGGGGCCUGACACCAGCAGGCAGUGGGAGCUACCAGAGGAGCAAGAUUCUGCAGCCCUGCUCGGCCAGGGUCCACCUAACCUCUACACACCCCUUGCUCCUCUAUUUCACCCAUGCUUGGAGGAAAAAAAUGAUAAAAUUAAAAUUCUUGUAACAGGACUGUUUUUUUCAUAAGACUAAUAGAAAAAACAGCUCCUUUACUCUUCAGUAAAAACACCUUUGUUAAUUAUAAGACUCAGACCCAUUCUGGUUUCAAAGCAUAAAUUAGUUUUCUGUUUUUCUUCUGUGCAAGAAUUUUGUUCAUAUAAAUUUCCUACAGUGCAACAGACAGCCUUGUUACUAGACAGGACACACAUAUACUAGAAGAAAAGAAAGGGAUAAAAAAGAAAGAAACAGCAAGAAAGCCACCAAUAAAUCAUUCCAGCCCCCUCUCUUCCUCUGCAGUUAGAAGGGGCUGGGGAUUUUUUG